ACAGGGACAAGUAACCCGGAUGUGUGCACUACAGGGACAAGUAACCCGGAUGCUCCCCGGUGUAACAAACAUGUCCAACAGUGUCGCACACUCCUCAUGUUUGUUGCUUUUUUGAGGCUCUUUUCGCUCCCGGGAGAACGGCGGAGGUGUCGCUACGGAAUGUGGAGGUCAACUAGAGCCAGCAGGCUGUGUUCCGGAAGACACUAUAUGCCAACACUACCAUCUUCAUGAAGUAGGCGCUGACGGAGUGGCUGCCGGUGUAGGCGUUGCAGGUGUAGGUGCCCUGGUCCGACACCUGCACCUGACUCAGGACCAGGCUGCCGUCGGACAACACCUGGAUGUUGCGCCCGUCCGGACGCACCGGCACGCCAUUUCUGCGCUCAGACGGACAAGAAGUGAUGUUUGGAGCGAGGGUGAGGUGGCGGGGUAUUACCUGGAGAAGAAGUGAUGUUUGGACCGAGGACGAGGACGAGGUGGCGAGGAUUACCUGGACCAGCCGAUGCUGACGUGGUCUCCUGACACCACACAGGGCAGCUGGGCCGCGGUGCCUUCAGGGACCCGGAUGUCUGUAGGAGCGUGGUGAUCCUCAGGUCAGUCUGCACCAUGAGCAUGUGAUGGAGGAAGAAAGGUCAUGUUUAGGGACAUCUAGUGGUGAGAGAGUGACAUUACAGCAUCGCUCUGUUUAACCUUUAGUAGUGUUUUUGUUUAUGUCAGUUAAACCUUUUUCUCAAAGUAUUCCUACACUAAAUAAUUGUCUGUUGACAACUUUUGUAAAAAAAAUUUAAAUAAAUAUUCCACAAUAUUACAUUUUAAUACUUUAGUCCAUGUCGAAUACUACCACCACCAUGCUUAACAGUAGGUAUGGUGUUCCUGGGAUUAAAGUCCUCAUCUUUUCUCCUCCAAACAUAUAUUGCUGGUUAUUGUGGCCAAACAACUCCAUUUUUGUUUCAUCUGACAUCACAUGGACAAAGAUAAGACCUUC